rnacentral:lncRNA from 1 species
UGUACAAUAGAAGAAUGAAGGUAAAAAUUGUGAGGCAUAAUACUUGCUCCAAGUAGACUCAUCAAUGCAAAUGCACUCUCUCCACUGAACUUAUUCAGCAUCCCACCGAUGGAGAAUGGACUUUCAGGUUGACUUAUAACCACUCCAAAAACAUAAGAGAGUAGAAUAGAGCUUCCCCAGCCAAUACAUAAGAAUUUCGCACUGACGUUGUCCUAAAUGGAGAACGGACUUUCAGGUUGACUUAUAACCACUCCAAAAACAUAAGAGAGUAGAAUAGAGCUUCCCCAGCCAAUACAUAAAAAUUUCGCACUGCCAUUGUCCUAUAAAAAGUAUUUUUGACAUCAUUAUUAUUCAUGGAUGCUGGAAUGAAAAGACAAGAAUUUGAGAUAAUUCAUAGGUGCCAAAUGCCAUGUCCUCGGAAACCCGCAUUCUAGCCAUGUCCACAAGGAUCGUAACUAGAAAGACUCACCAAGAGAGAAGCAAGCAGUGGAAACAAAAUGGCACCAGUUGCAGUCAGAAAAACACAGCUAAACAGGUCAACUCCAAACACAACAUUAAGCCCAUGUGCAGUGCCCAAAACCUAUCGAAUCAAGUAUUUUAAUGCGCUGGAAAAGUCAUAAUCUCAGAAGAAACU